UGGUGUGGUGGUGAUGGUGAGCUUUGCCUCUAAUGCCAGCACAAAGGAGGUCAAAGGCAGAAGGAUCAAAAAGUCAAGAUUAUCCUUGGCUACAUGAAGAGAUGGUGGCAAGCCUAAACAUAAAUUUAUUUUUUUAUUUUUUUUAUUUUUUUGGUUUUUCGAGACAGGGUUUCUCUGUGUAGCCCUGGCUGUCCUGGAACUCACUUUGUAGACCAGGCUGGCCUCGAACUCCGAAAUUCACCUGCCUCUGCCUCCCAAGUGCUGGGAUUAAAGAUGUGCGCCACCAUGCUUCUGUCUCAACACAGAACCAAAAAAAAAAAAAAAAAAAAAAAAAAGCCACAUAGUAUGUUAAUACCACCUCUUCAGGGAUUGAAGGAGGCCUAGGCCUAGUACUCUGCAACACAAAUACUAUAAUGAGACAGCUGGCUGUAUGGUGAAGGUAAAUCUGUCAUUUCCAUUUCUUUUUAAACUCAUGGGUGUUUGGUUCUUUGGACUAUCAUAUUGUCACUGUUAUUGUAUUUUAUAUUGUAGUUAUCACACCAUUGCAUAUGUCUACACCACUGGUCAGGUGGUAUCUUUAGGCCGUGGACCAAGUCACACAAGCAACCCAACUCAUCAGGAGGCCCCCGCAGAGAACUCUGAUAUUACCUGCCUGCUAGCUGCAGAGGGUAUGAAUAUUUCCACUAGCUCGUGACUGAUUGACUGAAAGAGACAUCGCAUUCAGUCUUCUUUCACAGGAUCCCACUGAACUAUGAUUUUGGUUCUUAGUGCUUUCAAUUUAAACUGCUGAAUCUUUUUCCUGGAGUAAUAGGUAAUCAUUUCUAAAGAUUUAAGUGAUUCAAAAGACAUCAAAUUAGUUAAUUAUAUAAACAACAUGGUUUGCUACAUUCAAGCAAAUAGUUAAGUAAGUUAACCCUGAUUCGUUUUGCAAGGGCCUAGACAACUAUAAAUGUUUAUUGAAUGAAUAAAUAAUAUUUGAUCUGGUCAAAAUUAAUUCUUAUGCCAUUUGUAGUCAGAAUUUAGGAGAGUAUACAUUUCUAACAAAUGAAUAAAUUUAACUUAAUUAUAUAUAGGUUUAUUUUUCCCCAGUAAAACUUUGAACGUGGAUCUCUUAAUUUUAUAGACCUUGUGGAUAUUGAAGUCAAAGACAUUUUUGCUGGAGCACACGCCAACUUUGUGACAACUCGUCGGGUAUCAGUAUGUGUUAUUCCUUUUUAGACUUAUUUUUCCCUCUAGAUUUCAGGAAUUCUUACUUUCCUGGUGCUGGGGACUCAAACCCAGAGCCUUGUGUAUGCUAGGUAAGCACUUUCUUCUGAGCUGUACCCACCAUUCCCUAAAUUUCAGAGUAUUGUUUGAGACAGUAUAUUAUUCAUUUUCAGAUCUCUUACUAAUGUGUUCCUCUAUUAAAAUGGUAGAAAUGUCAACAAGACCUUGUCUCCAAAAACGAACUGAGGGCUGGGGCUGUAGCUCAGUGCGAGAGUACUUGUCUUGAGUGCAAAAUCAAGAACCCUGAAUUUCAUCUCGAAAUGGGGAUGGCAGGAGAAAGAUGUGGGCAAUGAGGGGCAGGCUUAAGACAAAAGAAGAGAGGGAAGAUGGGGCAGGGGAGAUGCCUGAGACAGAGGGGAAGAAGAGGUACAAAAUCAGGCUACCGUGCACAGUUGGGAAAGCAGGGGAGGAACCAAAUAAAAAGAUGUGAAAGAAUGGUUUCUUAUUUGGGAACUUGGAGGCAGCUUUUUCCAGAGAAGCAUCUCUGCAGGAAAGUCAAGACAGACAAGCACAGAGCUUAAUUUUAACAGAGAGCAAUAAACCCUGGUGUGGGGUCAAUGCAAG
rnacentral:lncRNA from 1 species